rnacentral:rRNA from 1 species
CCUACGGGAGGCAGCAGUGAGGAAUAUUGGUCAAUGGGCGCGAGCCUGACCCAGCCACGUAGCGUGAAGGAUGACUGCCCUACGGGUUGUAACCUUCUUUUAUAAAGGAGUAAAGUGAGGCACGUGUUCCUUUUUGCAUGUACUUUAUGAAUAAGGAUCGGCUAACUCCGUGCCAGCAGCCGCGGUAUUACGGAGGUUCCGAGCGUUAUCCGGAUUUAUUGGGUUUAAAGGGAGCGUAGAUGGGUUGUUAAGUCAGUUGUGAAAGUUUGCGGCUCAACCGUAAAAUUGCAAUUGCUACUGGCAGCCUUGAGUACAGGUGAGGUAGGCGGAAUUCGUGGUGUAGCGGUGAAAUGCUUAGAUAUUACGAAGAACUCCGAUUGCGAAGGCAGCUUACUAAACUGCCACUGACAUUGAUGCUCGAAAGUGUGGGUAUCAAACAGGAUUAGAUACCCUUGUAGUC